GACGAACGCUGGCGGCGUGCUUAACACAUGCAAGUCGAACGGAAAGGCCCUGCUUUUGUGGGGUGCUCGAGUGGCGAACGGGUGAGUAACACGUGAGUAACCUGCCCUUGACUUUGGGAUAACUUCAGGAAACUGGGGCUAAUACCGGAUAGGAGCCCCUGCUGCAUGGUGGGGGUUGGAAAGUUUCGGCGGUCGGGGAUGGACUCGCGGCUUAUCAGCUUGUUGGUGGGGUAGUGGCUUACCAAGGCUUUGACGGGUAGCCGGCCUGAGAGGGUGACCGGCCACAUUGGGACUAAGAUACGGACCAGACUCCUACGGGAGGCAACAGUGGGAAGUAUUGCACAGUGAGAGGGAGCCUGAUGCAGAGGCGCUGCGUGCGGAAUGACGGCCUUCGGGUUGUGAACCGCUUUCGCCUGUGACGAAGCGGGAGUGACGGUAAUGGGUGAAGAAGCACCGGCUAACUACGUG
rnacentral:rRNA from 1 species